GAUGAACGCUGGCGGCGUGCCUAAUACAUGCAAGUCGAACGAUCCGCCUCGGCGGAUAGUGGCGGACGGGUGAGUAACACGUUGGUGCCUGCCCUCCAGUGGGGACUAACUGGCCGAAAGGUCGGCUAAUACCGCAUGUGACCGCAAGGUUAAAGUCGUAAGACGAUUGAGGAGGGGCCUGCGUCCCAUUAGCUAGUUGGUAGGGUAACUGCCUACCAAGGCGACGAUGGGUAGCUGGAUCGAGAGGUUGACCAGCCACACUGGGACUGAGAUACGGCCCAGACUCCUACGGGAGGCAGCAGUAAGGAAUCUUCCACAAUGGACGAAAGUCUGAUGGAGCAACGCCGCGUGCAGGAUGACGGUCUUCGGAUUGUAAACUGCUUUUAUACGGGAAGAUUAUGACGGUACCGUAUGAAUAAGCACCGGCUAACUACGUGCCAGCAGCCGCAGUAA
rnacentral:rRNA from 1 species